UGACCGAAAUUAUAAAUAUAUUUAAGCAAAAAAAAGGAUGAACAAAAAACUUCUAUAAUUUAUCUCAAAAGCUUCGGAAACUACAUACAAUAUCCAAAACAAACACAACUAGAAUAAUAAUGGAAUUAACAAACAGAAAGCUGAGGAACCCGAAGCUUGCAUCUUGUCAACGUAUCUUUUCAAAAAAACCUAAGACAUGACCACCUUAAACUCAUUUGUCAUGUCACAAAAGAAGAAGAAUUCCCUUUAAACUUCAAAUAUUAAUAUUUAAUUAGGACCAUGAUCCCUUCUUUCUAAAUAGGAGUAAACAUUUUUGGUAAAUCAAUAAGAAAGAAAGGAAAUAGAAAAGCUUUUUAAAUUUUGUUGGAGCGUAUGGUAAAUGAGGGGAGGAAGCUUCAAUUAUUUAUUCCACUAAAAAUAUGGGAGUUCCAUCGCACGUCAAUCGCCUCUAUCUGGUCAUGUCUGAUCUGAUAGAGGAUGUACUUGUUUUAACUGUUGAAACCUUCUGUUCCUCAGCUUUCUGUCCCAUCCACUAAUAUUCCCAAAAGGAAUGGAGGACUCUCUCUCGUAGGCCCUGCUCCCAAUCAACCAGCACUCCUUUUCCUACUUUUUCCUUUCCUAAUCUCUUCACUGUUCUGCUAAGUCAGAAGACAAGAUUAUGAAAAAGUGAACUUGUACAGUAUGCAGCAAUACUAGGCUAGCUACACCAAAUUAAUGCACAACACAAAAAGGAAAAAAGUGAAAACAUGCAGAGAAUCGGAGAAAAUUUAGAGAGAGAAAGUAGAGAGAAGGAGGAGAGAAUAGAAGAGUCUCGAAGAAGACUCAGUUCCAAAAGGCCCUGCUCCCAAUCAACCAGCACUCCUCCUUUUCCUACCUUUUCCUUUCCUAAUCUCUUCACUGUUCUGCUUAGUCAGAAGACAAGAUUAUGAAAAAGUAAUACUUGUACAGUAUGCAGCAAUACUAGCUACGCCAAAUUAAUGCACAACAGAAAAAGAAAAAAAAGAGGAGGAAAAUUAUAGCCAAGAGAUAUUAAUCCUUUUUUCCUUGGCUCAUGCUCUCACGACCUUUCAAGAAUCUAUAGCACUAGUCAAGAAUAUGUACCAAGUGAGAUUUAGUUUUAUCCUGUGUUUGAUCGAAUCUUCUU
rnacentral:lncRNA from 1 species